UUACGACCACAUCACAUGUAAACACCGGUUCCCGUACGAUGGCUGAAGUUAAGCAAUGUUGAGCCUGGUCAGUACCGAAGUGGGUAAACGCUUAGGAAUACCAGGUUCUGUA